UCGGGAAUUUUGGGCAAUGGGCGAAAGCCUGACCCAGCAACGCCGCGUGAAGGAUGAAGUAUUUCGGUAUGUAAACUUCGAAAGAAUAGGAAGAAUAAAUGACGGUACUAUUUAUAAGGUCCGGCUAACUACGUGCCAGCAGCCGCGGUAAUACGUAGGGACCAAGCGUUGUUCGGAUUUACUGGGCGUAAAGGGCGCGUAGGCGGCAAUUCAAGUCAUCUGUGAAAUCUCCGGGCUUAACUCGGAACGGUCAGAUGAUACUGCUUUGCUAGAGUGCAGAAGGGGCAACCGGAAUUCUUGGUGUAGCGGUGAAAUGCGUAGAUAUCAAGAGGAACACCUGAGGUGAAGACGGGUUGCUGGGCUGACACUGACGCUGAGGCGCGAAAGCCAGGGGAGCAAACGGGAUUAGAUACCCACGUAGUCCCUGAGCGGGCUGGCAAGGCGCAU
rnacentral:rRNA from 1 species